AGCAAUUUGUGAUGGCCCGGUCUGAAAGCUCACUGUGGCGGGACCGGGCCUGAUGUCGUUGCU
rfam:Astyanax mexicanus chromosome 9, whole genome shotgun sequence.